rnacentral:rRNA from 1 species
UACGGGGGGGGCAAGCGUUGUUCGGAAUUACUGGGCGUAAAGGGCUCGUAGGCGGCUUUGCAAGUCGGGUGUGAAAUCCCCAGGCUUAACCUGGGAACUGCAUUCGAGACUGCAUUGCUAGAGUAUGGGAGAGGGAAGUGGAAUUUCCGGUGUAGCGGUGAAAUGCGUAGAUAUCGGAAGGAACAUCAGUGGCGAAAGCGACUUCCUGGACCAAUACUGACGCUCAUGUGCGAAAGCGUGGGGAGCAAACAGG